CGGUCGUGGAUCAUCAGCACGUUCUUCACAUUACGAUAUGGAUAGUAUACAGUGUAUGUGUGCAGAGCAGGGGUUGCACUGUGUGGGCCUAGCUUCAAGACCGUGGUGGGCUCUGCUAGGACAUGCUCAUGCCCAUGCAUGUUGCAUUGGUCUCGCGUCAAGAUUUUGCUCACACUGACAUUGAUCUCCUGUGUUAGCAUUGUCGGAGCAUAUAAGAUCGGAGAGGAGGACCCGAUCCUCACGCGUCCACGGAGAAGGAAGAGGAUAUGAUAUGCUUUGGAAAGAAGCUUGACUUUCUUAUUCUUGAAAUAAACGGCACGGGCGCGCGCGUAUGAUUGGUGGUGGUGUGUUCUUGCUCUACUACACUAGCUACGAUACUAGCGCCUUGUUUAGUUCAUAAAAAUUUUCAAAAUUUUUCGUCACAUCGAAUUUUGGGUCGUAUGUAUGGAGCAUUAAAUAUAGACAAAAAUAAAAACUAAUUGUACAGUUUAUCUGUAAUUUGUGAGAUGAAUUUUUUGAGCCU
rnacentral:lncRNA from 1 species